rnacentral:rRNA from 1 species
CGGAUAACUGUACUAUUAUAGUAUUAUGCUUUUCAACAGUUAAUAGAGGUUUUCGAUAGUGCGUGCGUUAGCUGAUAUUCAGCAAAACUCUCGUAUUUAGAAAGUCUCUGUAAUCUGUGAUUUGGUGCAUUUUCUAUCAUUAAAAAGCUCUAUGACCCUUACAGAGGUAUGUAUCAGUUCGGACUACGUUCGAAGAUACGUGCUGUGUUAUGUGAUUGUUGAGUUUGGCUGAGAUUACUUUAGCCCGGGUUACUUAAAGCCUUGGUAGCAUGGAAGUCUAGCAGACUUGUUUAUUCUGGUUUGUGGCGAACAUGUUGCCGUGGUUUGUGAUCCGUGUUUAAUGAUUAAGUACUAGUUAUUCGACCCGUCUUGAAA